ACUAACUACUUGACAACAAUCAGCAAGCCAAUUGGCCUUUGAAAGUAGAUAUCUCCUCAAAUAUUGGUAGUCUUCUUGAUUUUGGAGGAGCCCAUUCAUUUAUAAGAUGUUCAAGCCCAUUCAUGAAGUCAUCAUCCAAAUUUAAGCCCGGAAGGUUUUGCAAAAAUGGUGGUGGUUGUCUCGAAUCUAGUUCCACUAGCAAUUCUUCCACACGGUUCCUUGUUUUCGGAUCUUCAGAACCCGCAUAAUUACCUCUCCAAACAUUUUCAAGAAUAUUACGAGCUUCAUCGUAUCGAGCUUGCCUUAUUAAACAAUGGGUCAAAUUAC